rnacentral:rRNA from 1 species
GAUGAACGCUGGCGGCGUGCCUAAUACAUGCAAGUCGAGCGAACAGACGAGGUUCUUGCUCCUCUGAUGUUAGCGGCGGACGGGUGAGUAACACGUGGAUAACCUACCUAUAAGACUGGGAUAACUUCGGGAAACCGGAGCGAAUACCGGAUAACAUGAUGAACCGCAUGGUUCAACAGCGAAAGACUGUCUUGCUGUCACUUAUAGAUGGAUCCGCGCCGCAUUAGCUAGUUGGUAAGGUAACGGCUUACCAAGGCAACGAUGCGUAGCCGACCUGAGAGGGUGAUCGGCCACACUGGAACUGAGACACGGUCCAGACUCCUACGGGAGGCAGCAGUAGGGAAUCUUCCGCGAUGGGCGAAAGCCUGACGGAGCAACGCCGCGUGAGUGAAGAAGGUCUUCGGAUCGUAAAACUCUGUUAUUAGGGGAGAACAAAUGUGUAAGUAACUAUGAACGUAAUGACGGUACCUAAUCAGAAAGCCACGGCUAACUACGUG